ACUGCUCAGUAACACGUGGAUAACCUGCCCUAAGGAAGGGGAUAACCUCGGGAAACUGAGGAUAAUACCCUAUAGGUUACAGACGCUGGAAUGCCCUGUAACCGAAAGUUCCGGCGCCUUAGGAUGGAUCUGCGGCCGAUUAGGUUGUUGUUGGGGUAACGGCCCAACAAGCCGAUAAUCGGUACGGGUUGUGGGAGCAAGAGCCCGGAGUUGGAUUCUGAGACAUGAAUCCAGGCCCUACGGGGCGCAGCAGGCGCGAAAACUUUACAAUGCGGGAAACCGUGAUAAGGGAACCCCGAGUGCCUGUAUAUGCAGGCUGUCCAGGUGUCUAAAAAACACCUGAAGAAAGGGCCGGGCGAGACCGGUGCCAGCCGCCGCGGUAAUACCGGCGGCUCGAGUGGUGGCCACUUUUAUUGGGCUUAAAGCGUUCGUAGCUGGGUUGUUAAGUCUCUUGGGAAAUCUGACGGCUCAACCGUCAGGCGUCCAAGGGAUACUGGCAAUCUUGGAACCGGGAGAGGUGAGGGGUACUUCGGGGGUAGGAGUGAAAUCCUGUAAUCCUCGAGGGACCACCUGUGGCGAAGGCGCCUCACCAGAACGGCUUCGACAGUGAGGGACGAAAGCUGGGGGAGUAAACCGGAUUAGAUACCCGGGUAGUCCCAGCCGUAAACGAUGCGCGUUAGGUGUAUCGGUGACCACGAGUCACCGAGGUGCCGAAGGGAAACCGUGAAACGUGCCGCCUGGGAAGUACGGUCGCAAGGCUGAAACUUAAAGGAAUUGGCGGGGGAGCAC
rnacentral:rRNA from 1 species